rnacentral:rRNA from 1 species
GUCCAGCCUGCCCAGUGACAUAGUUUAACGGCCGCGGUACCCUAACCGUGCAAAGGUAGCAUAAUCACUUGUUCUCUAAAUAGGGACUCGUAUCAAUGGCACCACGAGGGCUGUACUGUCUCCUUUCUCCAAUCAGUGAAACUGAUCUCCCCGUGAAGAAGCGGGGAUUAACCUAUAAGACGAGAAGACCCCAUGGAGCUUUAAACCCAAUAUGCACCCUCUACGCACUCAAAUCAACAUAGCCCAAGAAGCUUGUAUAUUGGUUUUAGGUUGGGGAGACCGCGGAGUAAAAUUAAACCUCCACGACAGACGGACUAACACCCUUAUCCACGAACUACAACUCUAAGAGCCAAUAAAUUGUUGUCUAAUGACCCAAUUACUUGAUCAACGAACCAAGUUACCCUGGGGAUAACAGCGCAAUCUACUUCGAGAGCCCCUAUCGACAAGUAGGUUUACGACCUCGAUGUUGGAUCAGGGUAUCCUAGUGGUGCAGCCGCUACUAAAGGUUCGUUUGUUCAACGAUUAAAACCCUACGUGAUCUGAGUUUCCAAGGACCGGAAG